rnacentral:misc_RNA from 1 species
UCAAGUUACAGCGGAGGCGCCCUCGGGUGUCCUCCUGUCUGCAACCCUUGUCUUUUGCGUACUGUAUGUUUCCUCGGUGGGUUCGCCCGCCGAUAGGACAUUCAUAAACCCUUCGUAGUUGCAAUCAGCGUCAGAAAUAACUAUAAUAGUUA